rnacentral:lncRNA from 1 species
CAUUUCAGGCUGUCAGCAUAAACCACGAAAUUUACAAUCUUUCAACUCUGUUUUUUUUUCACCAAAAUAAUAUUCUAAUAAGAGCCCCCUAUUUCGAAUUUUGAGAGCGCCCUGGGCGCUUGUUACGUCAAAUAAGGUAAUUGUUUAUGAUAACAGAAUUGGUAAUUCAUGGACAAAAGACACCUAGGGAAGUAUGAUAGAAAAUCAGUGGCAGCAAACUGUGAAAUAGGUAAUGUUUAGUGGGCAUGUCCCCAUUUUAAACCAUGAAUUGUGGUCUUUUCUGAUGGAAACAUGGCAGCAUACAGUAGUCAGGCUCAUGGUGUCUUACUCUUCCGGUGUUGGUGGUGAUGAUGCUCAGCUGAACAUAUGGCUGAACAUAUAUGCAAGUGGGCCCUGGUCGCUAAUGUAAGGCUUACGUUUAAUUCCAUGCCGGGAUAACCUGCCAUUUCCCUUGCCACAGUCCCCAUCACCCGCUGCUGCUGCUGCUGCUGCUGCUGCUUGUGCAUCAAGUCCAUCGAUGAGGUUGUUACAAAACUCAUGUUGAACACUCGAACACUCUCAGGACUGAAAGGGGGCACGGGUGGCCCAGUCGUCUAAGGCGCCGCAAUUCGCUUUGCAGAGUUGCGUCCCUUGGGCACGCCAGAAACCUAUGAUUGUGUGGUUCGAAUCCCGGUUCGCCCCGAUUAUGUUUCUAGGUUUGUCAGCACCAUACCCGUGCUUGUGGGUUUCACCGAAGUGGUAAGCGUCUGAGACCUGCAUCACUUCGGGCUUUCCUCCCACAUUAAGCUGACACACCGCGAUAUAACUGGAAUACUGUUAAAAGCGGCAUUAAACCCAACUCACUCACUCACUCACUCACACUCUCAGGACUGAAACUGUCACUUUACGUUUUCAUCACCAGACCAUGAAGGUUAGUUUAGUGUGAGCUUCAUGAGACUAAGUACAUUCAGAGUUGUGUUUAUUUGUUGGUAUUUUGACACACCGGAAUAGUUUUAAAAGUAGAAGAAAUGAAACGUAAUACAUUAAGCUCAUGGGCAUUUGUACAUCCGGAUGUAUGGGUUUAAAAUGUGUCUAAUUUACUUUUCUUGUUUUUCUUAAGUGUCACCUGUGUUUUUUUUUUCGAAAUUUUAGGAGGUAAUAUUUGUGUGAAUGUCGAUGUCUGAGGUAUGUAUAUUUUGAUCCUGAGGUCAUAGCUCUCCAUUAUUGGUACAUGUUAUCAGUGUAAAGUAUAUUCACACAAUAUUUAUAAACUUUGAAAUUUCUUCAUUUGGUUUCAUAAGGAAUAGUUUAUGAACCAUUUCAUUGAAUUAAUUUCAGUUAACUGCACAUUUCAGAGAGGGAGAAUUUGUAACCUAAACAGAACAUUUGAUUUCAAAGUGUUUCCUAUUGUAUAAAUACAUAACAGAAUUUUGGUUGAGAGAAGGAUGAGGGCUUGUCAUUGGCUUCAGCUCCAGGGAAUGACCGCCAUUGACCUGCUCCAGUGUCAACACAUUACUCAGAUGUCUUUUUGUACACUUGUAUAAUUCCUUCAUUCUUAUGAAAAUAAAAUAUUUUUAUACAACA